rnacentral:rRNA from 1 species
CGAUGUCGGCUCAUCGCAUCCUGGAGCUGAAGCAGGUUCCAAGGGUUGGGCUGUUCGCCCAUUAAAGCGGUACGCGAGCUGGGUUCAGAACGUCGUGAGACAGUUCGGUCCCUAUCCGUCGUGGGCGCAGGAAAUUUGAGAGGAGCUGUCCUUAGUACGAGAGGACCGGGAUGGACGGACCGCUGGUGAAUCUGUUAGACUGCCAAGUCUAUAGCAGAGUAGCCAAGUCUGGAAAAGAUAAACGCUGAAGGCAUCUAAGCGUGAAACAGACCUCAAGAUAAGAUUUCCCAAUUAAUUAAGACCCCUUGAAGACGACAAGGUAGAUAGGUUGGAGGUGGAAGUGUAGCAAUACAUGGAGCUGACCAAUACUAAUGGUACGAGGGUUUGACCUAAUAAAUACU